rnacentral:rRNA from 1 species
AACGAACGUUAGCGGCGCGCUUAACACAUGCAAGUCGAGCGAGAAAGGGCUUCGGCCCCGGUAAAGCGGCGCACGGGUGAGUAACACGUAGGUAAUCUGCCCUCAGGUGGUGGAUAACUUUCCGAAAGGAAGGCUAAUACAGCAUGGGACCACGGUUCCGAAAGGGACAGGGGUCAAAGCCGGCCAAUUCAUGAAAGCUGGUGCCAGAGGAUGAGCCUGCGGCCCAUCAGCUAGUUGGUAGGGUAAUGGUCUACCAAGGCGAAGACGGGCAGCUGGUGUAAGAGGAUGAUCAGCCACACGGGAACUGAGGCACGGUCCAGACUCCUACGGGAGGCAGCAGUGGGGAAUCUUGCGCAAUGGGCGAAAGCCUGACGCAGCGACGCCGCGUGAGUGAUGAAGGCCCUCGGGAUGUAAAGCUCUGUGGAGGGGGACGAAUAAGGGUUGGCUAAUAUCCAACUUGAUGACGGUACCCCUUUAGCAAGCACCGGCUAACUCUGUGCCAGCCGCCGCGGUAAGAC